rfam:Trichomonas vaginalis G3, whole genome shotgun sequence.
GUGCGUGAGGAUUGGGUGACAGACAGAGUACCUCCGGGACACUGGCUUGUGGCUGCUAGAGAUUCAAAUCAACGCAGCUUUUGAUUCUCCGAUGUCGGCUCUUCCUAUCCUAGUGAUGUACAAGUGCUAAAGGGUCGGAUUGUUCACCCCGUAUUAGGGAUCGUGAGCUGGGUUUAGACCGUCGUGAGCCAGGUUUGUUUAUCCCUACUGGAUAUAGCAUCAUGAUAGUAGAUUGAUUUAGUACGAGAGGAACUGUUGAUUAUGGCCUCUGGUUAGCGAUUAUCGGAAACGGUAUGUCGCGCAGCUACGCCGUCUGGGAUAAUGGCUGAAAGCCUCUUAAGCCAGAAGCCCAUCUAGAAAGUGAUGCACGUGAUGUUGGACCGAUACGAAUAAUCAUACUCAAAAGGUCCGCUUCAUAGGUAACCCAAUGUAGAAGACAUUGUGUGAACGAAGGUACUGUAAGCAGUGGAGUGGCAUUACGUCCACGACCUGUUGAGGUUCAGCUUCGCUUCUAGGUUUCC